AAAGUGGCUAGGAGUAACCCUCAAGUGAUCAACAGCCACCAUUGCUUUGCAUGAAGCUGAGGGAAAGAGGAGUUGCAGAUGACUGGGUGGGAAGUAAAGCCAGAUGGUUAUUUGAAAGUGUCUUCGUCUGCUUUGCCGCUGUUCUGAAAUUUGUUAUGGAGGCUGCUAAGGGAAAAAAUCAUGUACCAUAUCUGCACCAGGCAUGGAGAACAGAAGGGGUAGGCAAGAAAUUCCACUCAAUUCUGCUUAUAAUAUUCUGAAUGUCAGAAUAGGUCUCCAGACUAAUUAUAACAAAUAACCCUUGAAAAACAUGUAGGUCAUAAAUCCAUCAUUACAAUGUAAAACUGUCUCUACAUUUUUUUCAUCUAACACAGAAACC
rnacentral:lncRNA from 1 species